rnacentral:tRNA from 1 species
GCCGGUGUGGCUCAGUGGAUAGAGCGUCGGCCUGAGGACUAAAGGGCUCCGGUUCGAUUCCGGUCAAGGGCA